rnacentral:rRNA from 1 species
UGGGCGUAAAGGGCUCGCAGGCGGUUUCUUAAGUCUGAUGUGAAAGCCCCCGGCUCAACCGGGGAGGGUCAUUGGAAACUGGGAAACUUGAGUGCAGAAGAGGAGAGUGGAAUUCCACGUGUAGCGGUGAAAUGCGUAGAGAUGUGGAGGAACACCAGUGGCGAAGGCGACUCUCUGGUCUGUAACUGACGCUGAGGAGCGAAAGCGUGGGGAGCGAACAGGAUUAGAUACCCUGGUAGUCCACGCCGUAAACGAUGAGUGCUAAGUGUUAGGGGGUUUCCGCCCCUUAGUGCUGCAGCUAACGCAUUAAGCACUCCGCCUGGGGAGUACGGUCGCAAGACUGAAACUCAAAGGAAUUGACGGGGGCCCGCACAAGCGGUGGAGCAUGUGGUUUAAUUCGAAGCAACGCGAAGAACCUUACCAGGUCUUGACAUCCUCUGACAACCCUAGAGAUAGGGCUUUCCCUUCGGGGACAGAGUGACAGGUGGUGCAUGGUUGUCGUCAGCUCGUGUCGUGAGAUGUUGGGUUAAGUCCCGCAACGAGCGCAACCCUUGAUCUUAGUUGCCAGCAUUCAG